rnacentral:rRNA from 2 species
UACGAAGGGUCCAAGCGUUGUUCGGAAUCAUUGGGCGUAAAGCGCGCGCAGGCGGAUCAGCAAGUCAGGUGUGAAAUCUCGAGGCUCAACCUCGAAACUGCGCCUGAAACUGCUAGUCUAGAAUAUCGGAGGGGGCAGGGGAAUUUCACGUGUAGGGGUAAAAUCCGUAGAGAUGUGAAGGAACACCGGGGGCGAAGGCGCCUGCCUGGACGAUUAUUGACGCUGAGGCGCGAAAGCGUGGGGAGCAAACAGG